CCUCUCAUCUCUCACCUGACAGGUGUGGAGUGUCGUGAGCCGCGUAGGGGUUGCUGGACAUGGUGGAUCCGCAAGUGGAGCUGAGCAGCGGGCCGCUGACGAAGGCGUGGGGGCCGGCGCCGGGCGGCUGGAGCAGGGCGUCUUUCAAGGGGCUGACGGCGUUGAAGCGCACCACCGACAGACAGCCGCUGAAGCCCAGGGAGGCCAAGCGGAUCAAGUCUGGAUCCACGUCUCCCGGAUCUGAAGCCGUAGAGAAGGACGGAUUUUAUGUUUGAAUUGAAGAUCCGGACUUUGGUUGUCAUAGAUAUCUCCUUGGAGGACCAGAUGCUCUUCAGGAUGAUGAAGGCUGCUCUUGCUUUUCCAAUUCUUGCUGUUACAUCUUUGUCGGUGCCACCCUGUUUAUCCACGAUGCUGCCCAACCCUACGCCUAGAGAUGUCUUGACCAAUUCGGUGGUCUUUUCCUGCAUCUGCCUGUGGUUGUGCGAGAGGAGCGCCAGGUCGUCUGCGAAGUCUAAGUCAUCCAGUUGCGUCCACAGGGUCCACUGAAUACCGUUUUUCUUUCCUGAUGUUGUGUUCUUCAUGAUCCAGUCAAUAACUAAUAGGAACAUGAAGGGUGAUAGGAGGCAUCCUUGCCGAACUCCGGUCCUGACCUCAAAACUAUCAGACACUUGGCCUGCAUGUAGCACCUUGCAUGUCAUUCCUUGGUAGGUUUUCUGAAUCAGGCUGAUGAUUUUCUCUGGAAUCCCGUAGUGCCGCAGUAGUUUCCACAGUGUCUCCCUGUCCACACUGUCGAAGGCUUGUAUAGUGCUUUUCAUUUUUUUUUUUUAUGGAACUCAAAGGGCUUUGACACUAUUUCCACAUUCACCCAUUCACACACUGAUGGCUGGAGCUGCCAUGCAAGGCGCUAACCGGGACCCAUCAGGAGCAAGGGUGAAGUGUCUUGCUCAAGGACACAACGGACAUGACUAGGAUGGUAGAAGGUGGGGAUUGAACCGGGAACCCUCAGGUUGCGGGCACAGCCACUCUCCCAACUGUGCCACGCCGUAAAUGCUAGUAAAUUAAUAAUAAUGAUAAUAAUGUAAGUAAAUGCUAAUGCCAUUAUCUUGACAUAAUGAUAUUAUAUGUUUUUAAAGUAAUCAUUUCUUAUUUCAAGAAUGGAAAAAAAAUCAUGAUGCCGAGCGCAUAUCAUGAUGUCAAGAUAAUGGCACUAGCAUUUACUUGAUGUAAGAACAUUUUUCAACCUAUUGAGAAAAAAAGGUCUCAUAUUUGUUUUUU